rnacentral:rRNA from 1 species
AGAGUUUGAUCCUGGCUCAGGAUGAACGCUAGCGGCAGGCUUAAUACAUGCAAGUCAAGGGGGUAGCAAUACAACCGGCGCACGGGUGAGUAACGCGUACACAACAUACCAUAUACUGGGGUAUAGCUUUGGGAAACUGAAGGUAAUCCCCCAUAACAUUGCGAGAGGGCAUCUGAUUGCAAUUAAAGUUUCGGCGGUAUAUGAUUGGUGUGCGUUUGAUUAGCUAGUUGGUAGGGUAACGGCCUACCAAGGCGACGAUCAAUAGCUGGCGUGGGAGCGCGACCAGCCACACUGGAACUGAGACACGGUCCAGACUCCUACGGGAGGCAGCAGUAGGGAAUAUUGGACAAUGGAGGAAACUCUGAUCCAGCCAUGCCGCGUGAUAGAUGAAGGCCCUCUGGGUUGUAAAUAUCUUUUAUCUGGGAAGAAACACUCCUAUUCUUAGGAACUUGACGG